rnacentral:rRNA from 1 species
CCUACGGGAGGCAGCAGUGGGGAAUAUUGCACAAUGGGGGAAACCCUGAUGCAGCGACGCCGCGUGAGUGAAGAAGUAUUUCGGUACGUAAAGCUCUAUCAGCAGGGAAGAAAAUGACGGUACCUGACUAAGCAGCCCCGGCUAACUACGUGCCAGCAGCCGCGGUAAUACGUAGGGGGCAAGCGUUAUCCGGAUUUACUGGGUGUAAAGGGAGCGUAGACGGCAGCGCAAGUCUGGAGUGAAAUCCCAUGGCUUAACCAUGGAACUGCUUUGGAAACUGUGCAGCUAGAGUGCAGGAGAGGUAAGCGGAAUUCCUAGUGUAGCGGUGAAAUGCGUAGAUAUUAGGAGGAACACCAGUGGCGAAGGCGGCUUACUGGACUGUAACUGACGUUGAGGCUCGAAAGCGUGGGGAGCAAAUAGGAUUAGAUACCCCUGUAGUC